rnacentral:lncRNA from 1 species
UUUUGUUUUUUUUUCUUUUUCGUAUUAGUAUUUUAGUUCACUUCAAUAUCUUAGUAUGAUCUGGACCUGUAAGAACUUUUUACUUUGCCAUUUUUAAAAUUUCCACUGUCUGGAAAGUUGGAUGAUGUGUGAUAUGUGCCUAUAUGUUUUUUCCCAUAUGUGUGUAUGAGGAUCUAUCUAUCUAUCUAUCUAUCUAUCUAUCUAUCUAUCUAUCUAUCUAUCUAUCUAUCUAUCUAUCUAAUCAUUUAUAUGUCAUACCUAUUUUGACCAGCAGGUGGCGGUAUGCGCCCUCCAGCGUGUGUGAGCUGCCAUUACAGAUAGACACCGCUGCACACAAAAAAAACCCCACGAAGAAGAAGUGGUGGCGCAACACAGUUUAGCUAGACAGCAGCGCUCAUCCAGGAUAACGCCACAACUUAGCUUCAUUUACUGUUCACCCUGGUUUUUCUUAUGACAUCCUUCAAAUCUGGCGCACUAUGUUUGAGGAUCCCGAACUCCAAGAUCCAUUGUCACUGAGCUUAAAUGAAAACUAUGAUGACCAGAAUUUGCCACAUCAUGAUUCAAAAAAAGCACCAGCGAGCCCAGACUAUAAUUGUGAGACACCAGAGAUUCAAGUAAUCAUCAAAGAGGAAGAGGAAGGCUGGACUGUGAGUGAAAACCAUGAGAACUUUAGCUCAGAGGAGGAGAAAGAGGACACGUCCACACCCACUUGCUAUCCCCACCUCAAAGCGUACGGGAAGGACAGCUCCAUUUCACACGGAGUAAAGAGACACGACAGAGUAUGCUUAGAGGAAUCUGGUGGUGCGACUCUCUAUGGGCAGAGCUCCACUGCAAGGGAGGGACUGCAGAGACACAUGAUAAUGGACCCUGAUGGGAAACCGAAGAUUUCCUUUAUAUGUGGAAAAACGCCGGGAAACGUGACUGUGUAUCAGUGCAAUAACGCAGUAUGUGAGAUGACCCCCGGUCACACAAAGAACAUGAAGUCCCAUCAGAGUACACAUGUAGCGGACGAAUGUUAUGCUCAAGACCAGAGCACUGACGUCAAACAAAGCACAUCUCUGCCGACGGAAGCAGAACUACAUGAGACCAAAAGAUCAGCACCUUGCCAAACAGAUUCUCCUGAACGUAAGCCCCUGAUGCCACAUGGACUAAAGAUAGCAUCUGAAAACUUAGAGGACCAAACGCUCCAUCUGACUGUCAGACUGCAGUCGGGGGACGAGGAGGAGGAACAGGAGGAGGAACCAGAAGAGGAACAAGAUGAAGAAAUUGGUGGUUUAAUCAACUCUGAUGGAGAAGUGGUUGAGUGGGAUGCCAGUUGUCAUCCUGUCCGAGUCUCAGCUGCAAGGCCAAAACCAGAGAGGAAGCAGCAGCCCAACGCUCAUCAUGGAAGUUGA